AGCUCUACAAGCGAAGAAUACUUUUGUUGCGGUUAAAAAGCUCGUAGUUCAAGCGAUGACAAGCAGCAAGAGGUUCCACAAGAAUAGUGCUGUACACUCGGUCGGUUGUCUGCCGGAAAGUUGGUCUUUCUGAGAUGUUGGUCUGUGCGCCGAUACUCUUCUUGGUGUCGAAUUUUUCUUUCAACAAGUUUACUUUGAGAGAGAUAAAAGAAAGAAAACAAGUGUGUGCCACUGAAAACUAGAGCAUGAGAUAAUAGAACAGGUCAGUGUUCUAUUUUGUUUUUGGUUUUCGUUUGAUGUGAACAGUAACAUAGUAAUGAUGAAGAGACAGUUGUGACAUUCGUAUUGCAAGUCAGAGGUGAAAUUCCUAGAUUUUUGGUAUAGACGAACAAGUGCGAAA
rnacentral:rRNA from 1 species